GCAGUGGCGAGCAGGGAACGCAGGCGAAUAGUUCGUUGUCCCUUUGUAGAUUCGGAUCUACUGUUGAAACGGAAGUGCGUUUCCCCAAUCGCAGGUCUAUGUACAUCGUUGCGGUUCGAUCCAUGGCGGAGUCUCCAACAGCUGAAAAGAAUCAACCGUACUCCUCAGGCUUCUUACAAUUUUUCUUUUCCUGCAAUUUCGAGAUUGAUUUCAGUUGGGAGGAACUGCCUCGGUUUUGGAGAAUGCUGGAAUCUAUGUGACCAAAGUGGAGAAGCUUACUCAAUUUGUAGAAAUGGCAAGUUUUUUCCCUUAAGCUCGCUGCUCUUGCUUAAGGUUUGGUCUUGUGUUUUCGUUGAUUCUUUAAAGAUCUUUAAUCAAACAAAAGGCUAAUGUCAAAUUGAGUUGUGACUUUUUCAAUGAUCAUACCAUUAUCUUGUUGAGUUUAGUAUAUUAAACUUAGCUCUCCUUCUGUUUUUUCUUCUCAAGAAGCUUGAUGGAAUUCUCACUAGUCCAAGAGAUGUCAUAUAAAGAUGAGUGAUUGGUAAACUUGACGUUUUGGAUGUUUGAUAACACUAUAUAUUUUCCUUAAGAAA